ACGCUGGCGGCAGGCCUAACACAUGCAAGUCGAGCGGUAGAGAGAAGCUUGCUUCUCUUGAGAGCGGCGGACGGGUGAGUAAUGCCUAGGAAUCUGCCUGGUAGUGGGGGAUAACGUUCGGAAACGGACGCUAAUACCGCAUACGUCCUACGGGAGAAAGCAGGGGACCUUCGGGCCUUGCGCUAUCAGAUGAGCCUAGGUCGGAUUAGCUAGUUGGUGAGGUAAUGGCUCACCAAGGCGACGAUCCGUAACUGGUCUGAGAGGAUGAUCAGUCACACUGGAACUGAGACACGGUCCAGACUCCUACGGGAGGCAGCAGUGGGGAAUAUUGGACAAUGGGCGAAAGCCUGAUCCAGCCAUGCCGCGUGUGUGAAGAAGGUCUUCGGAUUGUAAAGCACUUUAAGUUGGGAGGAAGGGCAGUUACCUAAUACGUGAUUGUUUUGACGUUACCGACAGAAUAAGCACCGGCUAACUCUGUGCCAGCAGCCGCGGUAAUACAGAGGGUGCAAGCGUUAAUCGGAAUUACUGGGCGUAAAGCGCGCGUAGGUGGUUUGUUAAGUUGGAUGUGAAAUCCCCGGGCCCAACCUGGGAACUGCAUUCAAAACUGACUGACUAGAGUGUGGUAGAGGGUGGUGGAAUUUCCUGUGUAGCGGUGAAAUGCGUAGAUAUAGGAAGGAACACCAGUGGCGAAGGCGACCACCUGGACCAACACUGACACUGAGGUGCGAAAGCGUGGGGAGCAAAC
rnacentral:rRNA from 1 species